rnacentral:rRNA from 1 species
GGAGCAACGCCGCGUGAGUGAAGAAGGUUUUCGGAUCGUAAAACUCUGUUGUAAGGGAAGAACAAGUACGGUAGUAACUGGCCGUACCUUGACGGUACCUUAUUAGAAAGCCACGGCUAACUACGUGCCAGCAGCCGCGGUAAUACGUAGGUGGCAAGCGUUGUCCGGAAUUAUUGGGCGUAAAGCGCGCGCAGGCGGUCCUUUAAGUCUGAUGUGAAAGCCCACGGCUCAACCGUGGAAGGUCAUUGGAAACUGGGGGACUUGAGUGCAGAAGAGGUUAGUGGAAUUCCAAGUGUAGCGGUGAAAUGCGUAGAGAUUUGGAGGAACACCAGUGGCGAAGGCGACUAACUGGUCUGUAACUGACGCUGAGGCGCGAAAGCGUGGGGAGCAAACAGGAUUAGAUACCCUGGUAGUCCACGCCGUAAACGAUGAGUGCUAAGUGUUAGGGGGUUUCCGCCCCUUAGUGCUGCAGUAAACGCAUUAAGCACUCCGCCUGGGGAGUACGGCCGCAAGGCUGAAACUCAAAGGAAU